AUUGAACGCUGGCGGCAUGCUUUACACAUGCAAGUCGAACGGUAACAGGUUAAGCUGACGAGUGGCGAACGGGUGAGUAAUGCAUCGGAACGUGCCCGAUCGUGGGGGAUAACGUAGCGAAAGUUACGCUAAUACCGCAUACGAUCUGAGGAUGAAAGCGGGGGACCGUAAGGCCUCGCGCGAUCGGAGCGGCCGAUGUCAGAUUAGGUAGUUGGUGGGGUAAAGGCCCACCAAGCCGACGAUCUGUAGCUGGUCUGAGAGGACGACCAGCCACACUGGGACGGGGACACGGCCCAGACUCCUACGGGAGGCAGUAGGGGAGAAUUUUGGACAAUGGGGGAAAUCCUGAUCCAGCAAUGCCGCGUGCAGGAAGAAGGCCUUCGGGUUGUAAACUGCUUUUGUACGGAGAGAAAAGGCUCUCUCUAAUACAGGGGGCUCAUGACGGUACCGUAAGAAUAAGCACCGGCUAACUACGUGCCAGCAGCCGCCGCCGUAA
rnacentral:rRNA from 1 species